rnacentral:rRNA from 1 species
UUCGGAUCGGAGUCUGCAACCCGACNCCGUGAAGCUGGAUUCGCUAGUAAUCGCGCAUCAGCCAUGGCGCGGUGAAUACGUUCCCGGGCCUUGUACACACCGCCCGUCAAGCCAUGGAAGCCGGGGGUGCCUGAAGUGUGCAGCCGCAAGGAGCGCCCUAAGGUAAAACCGGUGACUGGGGCUAAGUCGUAACAAGGUAGC